rnacentral:rRNA from 1 species
UGGGGAAUUCUGGACAAUGGGCGAAAGCCUGAUCCAGCCAUGCCGCGUGUCUGAAGAAGGCCUUCGGGUUGUAAAGGACUUUUGUCAGGGAGGAAAUCCCUAGCGUUAAUACCGCUGGGGGAUGACAGUACCUGAAGAAUAAGCACCGGCUAACUACGUGCCAGCAGCCGCGGUAAUACGUAGGGUGCGAGCGUUAAUCGGAAUUACUGGGCGUAAAGCGUGCGCAGGCGGUUUGAUAAGCCAGAUGUGAAAUCCCCGAGCUCAACUUGGGAACUGCGUUUGGAACUGUCAGACUAGAGUGCGUCAGAGGGGGGUGGAAUUCCGCGUGUAGCAGUGAAAUGCGUAGAGAUGCGGAGGAACACCGAUGGCGAAGGCAGCCCCCUGGGAUGACACUGACGCUCAUGCACGAAAGCGUGGGGAGCAAAUAGGAUUAGAUACCCUGGUAGUCCACGCCCUAAACGAUGUCAAUUAGCUGUUGGGGGUUAGAAUCCCUGGUAGCGUAGCUAACGCGUGAAAUUGACCGCCUGGGGAGUACGGCCGCAAGGUUA